rnacentral:rRNA from 1 species
UACGUAGGGUGCGAGCGUUAAUCGGAUUUACUGGGCGUAAAGGGCGCGUAGGCGGCGCGGUAAGUCACUUGUGAAAUCUCUGAGCUUAACUCAGAACGGCCAAGUGAUACUGCAGUGCUAGAGUGCAGAAGGGGCAAUCGGAAUUCUUGGUGUAGCGGUGAAAUGCGUAGAUAUCAAGAGGAACACCUGAGGUGAAGACGGGUUGCUGGGCUGACACUGACGCUGAGUGCGCGAAAGCCAGGGGAGCAAACGGG